rnacentral:lncRNA from 1 species
UUUUUUUUUUUUUUAAAUAGAGGUCUAAUAAUACUCUAGUCUUGAGGCAACUAUUAAUUUAGAACGUUUUACUUUGGGUGGGACUUCAGACCAUUCUUUCAGCCAAGUGUUUUUCUUUUCUCUAAGCUACAAAAACCACUUCAUGACAAUUACAUCACUGUAGUCUGGUGAUAUUCUAAGUUUCAUUCCAAACUGGCCAGAUGUGAAAUGCAAUGUGCUGUGAUGCAGAUGCAUUGAAAACACUAACAAUGCCAAAUGAUUUCAGGCUUUUGGUAAAAAUUAUCCUCCAAAAGCUCAUCCAACAGGCUUGCAAAACGAAUCUCAUUUUUCACUAUUUCAGCUUUGCAGGGUAGAGAUGCUUACUAAACCAAGAGAGCCACUUUUGGGGGAAGACGGGAGUCAGGCAGUGAAGGGAGGAAGGGAGGGGGCAAUUUGAUAUCACGAAGUAUGUUUAAAAUGGAAAACCAGCACUUACCCUCUCUCUUAGGACAUACACUCCAACAGCAUCCAUGACACCUGCAUAUCAAUAUUUUUGAACUGCCUUGAGUUUUAGUCCACCAAAUGGCAACAUGAGUAAGAGCCAGACAGGAAGCAUAAUAAGCAAUGGCCAAUGCCAGGUUCACUUACCUACAAAAGGAAAAGCAGAGGUUUAAAUCUCUCUAAUCAUGAAGGCACAAUUAUCUCUUCACGUCUCUACUAAUUAGCUUUGACUUAAAGCAGAUUAUGUGACAAAGAAAAAGACAAAUAUAACCUUGUGGCCUUUAAUAACACUGUUUGAAAAUAGAAAGUCCCCUCCCCCACUACAAUCUAUAAAUUCUUUGACAGAUACAAGUUAAUUGGAUGCAGAAGUAGAAUAUUUUCUUUGUGGUGAGUUGAUAGACAAUUGCUCUUCAGUUUGUUGAAGUGCAGAUGUGACAAUAAAACAGGUGAUUGAACCAGGAAUUGCUUAAGAUCUUGAAUAUGUUUCCCAGGAAGUGUCUAAUGAUUGUCACUGGAUCAGUUGCAACUCUUUCUUUAUAGGACUAAAUGGUGCUAGUUAUUGCUGGGAGUUUGCCAAUGUAAAUCUAAGGCAAGUGGCAGCUAAAAGAGCUGUAAAUAGAGCAGCAAAUACCAUCAAUGUUCACUACCCUGAAGUUUUCUGCCCUUAAACACUUUGGUAUGCACAUCCUCAAAAGUAUAUUUUAACACAAACAUUCCUCUUGUCUUGAGACAUAGGAAAUAUGAAAAAUAGUGAAGCACCAAGGACAUAUAACUAGCCAAAAAAAAAAGUCAACAUAAAUUAAUCUCCUCUAUCUCUAACACAACUAGCAUGUAUGAGCUCAUAUAUUGUGUCAAAUACCAAAGCAUUUUACAUGUACAAAUUCAUUUAAUAUUUUAAACAAGUCUUUGAGGCAUAAAUUAGUAUUAUCCUCAUAUUUUUUGUAAACAAGGAAGAAAAAGAAGAGUUAAGAAACUUGCUGAAAGCCACAUGUUCAAGAAUGGCAAAGCUAGAAUAAAGAUAUGUAUGUCUUGUGGGAUUCAUAUAAUGUUUGUAUUUUGUGUAUUAUUAUCAACUCAGAUUUCAUAGAUUCAUGAGUCAAGACAUCAAGUUCUUUCCCUCAUGGGAUUCAUUUUGACAUGUUCUUGAAAGACUGAGGAAGAGUCUGCAAUUGUGCACUUCAAAAAAAAUUAAAAUAACAGUAUGGUUUUAUAGCUGUUUUCUCUAAGACAGUGAAUAUAAUUCCCUUAGAACAAACGGUUAACAAUCAGUGUUUGGUAGAAAUAAAAUGCUUCAGUGGAUCAAAGUUUGUAAAACAUCAAAUUAUUAUUUGUCCUUAGAUGAAUUCUCUAAAACAUGUCUCACAAAAGUUUCUUCAAGGAUUGCUCAUAGGACUGAUACCUGAUAUAUAAAAUGAGAUAAUAAAUACACA